rnacentral:rRNA from 1 species
UACAGAGGUCCCAAGCGUUGUUCGGAUUCACUGGGCGUAAAGGGUGCGUAGGUGGUGAGGUAAGUCGGAUGUGAAAUCUCCGAGCUCAACUCGGAAAUGGCAUUGGAAACUACCUUGCUAGAGGGUUGGAGGGGGGACUGGAAUACUUGGUGUAGCAGUGAAAUGCGUAGAGAUCGUAAGGAAGACCAGUGGCGAAGGCGGGUCCCUGGACAGUUCCUGACACUGAGGCACGAAGGCCAGGGGAGCAAACGGG